UACGGAGGGUGCAAGCGUUGUUCGGAAUCAUUGGGCGUAAAGCGCAUGUAGGCGGCCCGGUAAGUCUGAUGUGAAAGCCCGGGGCUUAACUCCGGACGUGCAUUGGAUACUGCCAGGCUAGAGGUCGAGAGGGGGAAGCGGAAUUCCUGGUGUAGGGGUGAAAUCCGUAGAUAUCAGGAGGAACAUCGGAGGCGAAGGCGGCUUCCUGGCUCGAUUCUGACGCUGAGAUGCGAAAGCGUGGGGAGCAAACAGG
rnacentral:rRNA from 1 species